rnacentral:misc_RNA from 1 species
GAUAAGAACGUAGCGAAAUGCGAUAAGUAAUGUGAAUUGCAGAAUUCAGUGAAUCAUCGAAUCUUUGAACGCACAUUGCGCCCCCUGGUAUUCCGGGGGGCAUGCCUGUUCGAGCGUCAUUUCACCACUCAAGCCUCGCUUGGUAUUGGGCAACGCGGUCCGCCGCGUGCCUCAAAUCGUCCGGCUGGGUCUUCUGUCCCCUAAGCGUUGUGGAAACUAUUCGCUAAAGGGUGUUCGGGAGGCUACGCCGUAAAACAACCCCAUUUCUAAGGUUGACCUCGGAUCAGGUAGGGAUACCCGCUGAACUUAAGCAUAUCAAUAAGCGGAGGA